GAUGAAGAACGUAGCGAAAUGCGAUAAGUAAUGUGAAUUGCAGAAUUCAGUGAAUCAUCGAAUCUUUGAACGCACAUUGCGCCCGCCAGUAUUCUGGCGGGCAUGCCUGUUCGAGCGUCAUUUCAACCAUCAAGCCCCAGGCUUGUGUUGGGGACCUGCGGCUGCCGCAGGCCCUGAAAACCAGUGGCGGGCUCGCUGUCACACCGAGCGUAGUAGAUUUUAUCUCGCUCUGGGCGUGCUGCGGGUUCCGGCCGUUAAACCACCCUUUUAACCCAAGGUUGACCUCGGAUCAGGUAGGAAGACCCGCUGAACUUAAGCAUAUCAAUAAGCGGAGGA
rnacentral:misc_RNA from 1 species